rnacentral:rRNA from 1 species
CGCUGGCGGCGUGCCUAACACAUGCAAGUCGAACGGAGCUGAGGAGCUUGCUCCUUAGCUAGUGGCGGACGGGUGAGUAACGCGUGAGUAACCUGCCUCUGAGAGGGGAAUAACGUUCUGAAAAGAACGCUAAUACCGCAUAACGUAUUGAAGCCGCAUGACUUUGAUACCAAAGAUUUUAUCGCUCGGAGAUGGACUCGCGUCCGAUUAGCUUGUUGGUGAGGUAACGGCUCACCAAGGCGACGAUCGGUAGCCGGACUGAGAGGUUGAUCGGCCACAUUGGGACUGAGACACGGCCCAGACUCCUACGGGAGGCAGCAGUGGGGGAUAUUGCGCAAUGGGGGCAACCCUGACGCAGCAACGCCGCGUGAAGGAUGAAGGUUUUCGGAUUGUAAACUUCUUUUAUCAGGGACGAAAUUUGACGGUACCUGAUGAAUAAGCUCCGGCUAACUACGUGCCAGCAGCUGC